GACGAACGCUGGCGGCGUGCUUAACACAUGCAAGUCGAACGGUAAGGCCCUUCGGGGUACACGAGUGGCGAACGGGUGAGUAACACGUGGGUGAUCUGCCCUGCACUUCGGGAUAAGCCUGGGAAACGGGGUCUAAUACCGGAUAGGACUCUUGGAGUCAUGGUUGGGGGUGUAAAGCUUUUGCGGUGUGGGAUGGGCCCGCGGCCUAUCAGCUUGUUGGUGGGGUAAUGGCCGACCAAGGCGACGACGGGUAGCCGGCCUGAGAGGGUGACCGGUCACACUGGGACUGAGAUACGGCCCAGACUCCUACGGGAGGCAGCAGUGGGGAAUAUUGCACAAUGGGCGCAAGCCUGAUGCAGCGACGCCGCGUGAGGGAUGACGGCCUUCGGGUUGUAAACCUCUUUCAGCUAUGACGAAGCGCAAGUGACGGUAGUAGCAGAAGAAGGACCGGCCAACUACGUGCCAGCCGCCGCUGUAA
rnacentral:rRNA from 1 species